rnacentral:lncRNA from 1 species
GCAGAGAAGAAUGGGAGAAACUCCCCAAAUACAAGUGUGCCAAGCUUGUUGCGUCAUACCAAAGAAGACUCGAGGCUGCCAAAAGGGAACGAAGCCCUUCCAAAAGAUCCCGAAGUACCUCUUCGUGCCUCCCAAUGGUGGCUCCCUGCAGGGAGACAACGUGACGGAGCUGGUCCAAAUCUGCUGGGUCUGUCAUGGCCAGGGCACAAGUAGGAAAGUUUUCUUGUCUGAACUAGAGGUGGAUCCAUAGACCAGUCACUCUUCAUGAACACACAGCUGGUUACAGGUGAUUCUAGUCUCUCUUGCUGAAGCCUGAUUAAAACAAUAUAUUUAGCCAUGAGUCUUAUUGUGGUUAUUUAGUUAAUCCCGAAUUGAGACAUUGAAAUUAGAAAUGUAUUUAAUUUGCUUUGAAUUCAUUGCAAAUGGCAG